UCUGACGUCAACUGCUUGUGCCGAAGGUAAAAUACACAUGUAGUAAAAAGCCAAUAGAUGUCACAUUCGUGUCGCUUGGAUCCACACGUGUCCACACAAGCUGCUUUAAUUACAUUUCCCGGCUCCUCCUCCAAUCGGCAGCAUCCCUGCGAGCUGUUUGUAGUCCAUGUACCGUUUGAUAUUUUCUCCCCCUCCCUCCUGGCUCCCGCAUCUACUGCAAGAGCGGCACACAUACACACGCAGCCACCUCCUCCUGCUUGUAAUGCGGAGAAAAGCCGUUCGCCUCAUAUCUCCCUCUCCGAAGGUAGGAUCUCAUUUAACAUCUUUGUUUUGGAAAAGAAAAAAAGUCGUUCUUGGGAGCUCGAAUGGUUUUACUCUUUUUUUUGUCUAGGAAGACUCAUAUUUUCUCAAUACAGGGGAAAGUACAGCAGAAAGGUGACCUCAAGGAGUCGAGACAAUGACCCCAAUGACUACGUAGAACAGGAUGACAAGUAGGCUACAAAGAUGUCCGUCUUGAAAGCUUACCUCCGUGGUCAGUCCCCUUCGCAGUCUGAGGAAGAACACACCUGUGUGAGCACAGAUUCAUUAUCUCCUCUGGAGAUGCUCUGGUACCUGUUUAUGCUAAUUUGUGGCUUACCUCAAUUUAUCAAUUUCCUGGAGAACUUGAAUGAAUGUCCUCUCCCCUCAUUUUCCCAAGCAACAUCUUUGAACUUAGCUGAUGGCCUGAAAUGGAAGGGACUUUUAACUGACAUGCAAAGCAACCAGCCACAGUUAGUGGUGAGUCACUAUGGCAUUUAAAGAGAGAGAAUGUUGUUGGUC